AACGAACGCUGGCGGCAUGCCUAACACAUGCAAGUCGAACGAGACCUUCGGGUCUAGUGGCGCACGGGUUCGUAACGCGUGGGAACCUGCCCUUAGGUUCGGAAUAACUCCCCGAAAGGGGUGCUAAUACCGGAUAAUGGCUUCGGACCAAAGAUUUAUCGCCUUUGGAUGUGCCCGCGUUGGAUUAGCUAGUUGUUAGGGUAAAAGCCUACCAAGGCGGCGAUCCAUAGCUGGUCUGAGAGGAUGAUCAGCCACACUGGGACUGAGACACGGCCCAGACUCCUACGGGAGGCAGCAGUGGGGAAUAUUGGACAACGGGCGAAAGCAUGAUCCAGCAAUGCUGCGUGAGUGAUGAAGGCAUUAGGGUUGUAAAGCUCUUUUACCCGGGAUGAUAAUGACAGUACCGGGAGAAUAAGCUCCGGCUAACUCCGUG
rnacentral:rRNA from 1 species